CAGUCGCCACGGGAAUACGUAGGUGGCAAGCGUUAUCCGGAAUUAUUGGGCGUAAAGCGCGCGUAGGCGGUUUUUUAAGUCUGAUGUGAAAGCCCACGGCUCAACCGUGGAGGGUCAUUGGAAACUGGAAAACUUGAGUGCAGAAGAGGAAAGUGGAAUUCCAUGUGUAGCGGUGAAAUGCGCAGAGAUAUGGAGGAACACCAGUGGCGAAGGCGACUUUCUGGUCUGUAACUGACGCUGAUGUGCGAAAGCGUGGGGAUCAAACAGGAUUAGAUACCCCAGUAGUCCCUGUCUCUUAUAU
rnacentral:rRNA from 1 species